GGUGGUGGAUAACCGGCGCCAGAUAGAUGAGACACGAGUGCUUCAUUAUGACCCGGAAACACUCACAGUGCUGCUGAGAAGAGGAAUGACUGUGGACUUCCACAUAGAGUGUGAUCAAUCUAAGGAAGUUCGCAUACUGCUAUGUUUGGAUCUGUGUGUGUCGUCAGCUGACACCAUGACUGCAGCAUCAGCGCUGGAGAUUGGACCUCCUUUAAACACCGCCAGGAGAAUCAUUGUGAGCCCCGUCCUCAUACCGCUGCUCUUCAUCAUCCGCUGGUGUUACUGACACACACGCAUGUACAGUUGAAGUCAGAGUUAUUCACCCCCCUGUUAGUUUUUUU